GCAGACUCACUCUGCUCCCUGCUUCCUUAUCCGGGCUUGGAGCUUUUUCUGUCUGCUACAUUAACAUGCAGAAUGCAACACACAAGCUUGCUACUCUUUUUUUCACGGAGCAAGCACUGAGAUAUUCUGCGACAUUGUG